rnacentral:misc_RNA from 1 species
GAUGAAGAACGUAGUGAAAUGCGAUAAGUAAUGUGAAUUGCAGAAUUCAGUGAAUCAUCGAAUCUUUGAACGCACAUUGCGCCCGCCAGUAUUCUGGCGGGCAUGCCUGUCCGAGCGUCAUUUCAACCCUCGAACCCCUCCGGGGGGUCGGCGUUGGGGAUCGGCACUUACCUGCCGGCCCCGAAAUACAGUGGCGGUCUCGCCGCAGCCUCUCCUGCGCAGUAGUUUGCACACUCGCACCGGGAGCGCGGCGCGUCCACGGCCGUAAAACAACCCAAACUUCUGAAAUGUUGACCUCGGAUCAGGUAGGAAUACCCGCUGAACUUAAGCAUAUCAAUAAGCGGAGGA